rnacentral:rRNA from 1 species
GACGAACGCUGGCGGCGUGCUUAACACAUGCAAGUCGAACGGAAAGGCCCUGCUUUUGUGGGGUGCUCGAGUGGCGAACGGGUGAGUAACACGUGAGUAACCUGCCCUUGACUUUGGGAUAACUUCAGGAAACUGGGGCUAAUACCGGAUAGGAGCUCCUGCUGCAUGGUGGGGGUUGGAAAGUUUCGGCGGUUGGGGAUGGACUCGCGGCUUAUCAGCUUGUUGGUGGGGUAGUGGCUUACCAAGGCUUUGACGGGUAGCCGGCCUGAGAGGGUGAACGGCGACAUGAGGACUGAGAGACGGACCAGACUCCUACGGGAGGCAGCAGGGGGGAAUAUUGCACAAUGGGCGGAAGCCUGAUGCAGCAACGCCGCGUGCGGGAUGACGGCCUUCGGGUUGUAAACCGCUUUCGCCUGUGACGAAGCGUGAGUGACGGUAAUGGGUAAAGAAGCACCGGCUAACUACGUG